AGAGUUUGAUCCUGGCUCAGGAUGAACGCUAGCUACAGGCUUAACACAUGCAAGUCGAGGGGAAACGGAACAUCGAAAGACUUGUCUUUUGUAUGGGCGUCGACCGGCGCACGGGUGGAGUAACGCGUAUCCAACCUGCCCACCACUUGGGGAGUAACCUUGCGAAAGUAAGACUAAUACCCAAUGACGUCUCUAGAAGACAUCUGAAGGAGAUUAAAGAUUUAUCGGUGAUGGAUGGGGAUGCGUCUGAUUAGCUUGUUGGCGGGGUAACGGCCACCAAGGCGACGAUCAGUAGGGGUUCUGAGGAGGAAGGUCCCCCACAUUGGAACUGAGACACGGUCCAAACUCCUACGGGAGGCA
rnacentral:rRNA from 1 species